CAAUGUUAUGAAUUUAUAGAAUAUUUAAAAACUAAAUAUCUGCAAAAAAGUAUUUCCUCCAAAUUCAUAAUAUAAGUGAUCAUUGAUUUAUACAUUUAAAUGCUUAAUAUAAGAUCCCCCAUUAAUAUAAAAAUGAGAUGUAGAAUGAUUACCAAUGAGACAACUAUACACCAGAGACCAAAGUUAGCUACCAUGCUGAAAGAGUAAUAUUUUACGUAAAUCUUUUUUAUGUUAAAGCUUUGCAAGCUCCCAAAUGGCUGAUCAUAAACAUAUUCAGCAAUUUAUGAAUAAAAUAACCUUUUCUUUUACUAAAUUUCAAUUUUAAAUUAUUAUUUUCUUAAUAAAUAUGUUGAAAAAAGCUUGCAGUUUAAAUCUCAAAUACGAAAAAUAAAAUCCCUCCUUUUUAAACCAGUUUGGAGAUAAUUUGGAAAAUUGUGAAAUAAACUGCACAUAAAAGAUUUGAGAUAUAGAAUUGAGAAAAAUUUAAUAGCUCUGGAUUUAAUUAGAUAAUUACUACAGUGUAAAUGGACUUUUCUAGUAAUUGACUAGAUUUAAAUGUAUUGACUUAAAUGGACAAAUUGUACGAGGACAUAGUGUGGAGACAGUGCAAUAAAAUAUUCAAAUAAUAGAACUAACAGGAAUAGACUAAAUCAACUGUAAACCAGUAAAGUGAAUGAUGAACUUUUAUAAUGAUGUGACCAGUAUUCAUGUGGAUGGACAGUGCUAGUGGGAUAUUAUACUGAUAAAUCCCCCAGAUUCACAUCACAACCAGGUCUGAAGCUCAGUUACAUGCAAAAGACAAGAUAUCAAAGAAAUUUCAAGACAUGUAAAUGAUCUAUUGACAUAAGAUCUAAGGAAAGUAGGACUUGGAAGUAAUAUAUUAUCAACUUUAAGCUUAUACAAUAUGAUGAUGAUGGAGACCUUCAGAUAAAUUGUGCUUCAAAAUUUACUAAUCAACUGAUGCAGAAGAAUGAAUUUUGUUGAUGGAGGAACUUGGAAACAAUUAUUUACAAAAAAUAUUUGUAGUAUAACAAUUAUGUUUAAAUCAAAUAGAGAGAGAGAGAGAGAGUGGAAUGAAGAAAAAAUGUAAUAUCUUAUUUAUUUGAAUUUUGUACAAUUUCAUGUGGCACUACUGAAUACAUUUCAGUUCAUUUGUUAUUAAUAUGCAAAAAAUUUAAAUGUGACUAUAUAUAUGUAUAAAAAGUAAGUAAAACUUUGUAUAUUUUCGUUAGGCAAUAUACAAGUAAUUUUUUUUUAAUAUUUAAAUAAUAAAACCUUUCAUUUUCUAUGAAAGGACAAACAGGGAAGAAGGGAAAAGUAGCUAAUUUUAUGAGCUUAAGAUUGUAUUCAUUUAUAUUGUCUUGUAUUGUAGAAGGUUAACUUAAGUAUUCAGUAUAGUACAAAAUUCAAAAUGGCAGGACUGCAAGUGUAGAAUAAUCAUUAUAGUUAUCAUCACAAAUAUGUUCAAUCUAGAUGUACAACACUUUUUUUAUAAGUGUUUUUGUAAACUUUUUAACAGGAACACCAGUUGUGAUGAAUGGGAAGACUGGCAGGCAGAGAUUAAGGGGUAAGGGGAGGGAAUACCCCUGCUUAUCUUUUCAUAAUGGUUAGUUCGCUUGGUAAAGGUUUUGUACAAAUAUUGUACAUAUCAGAUGUAUACAUUUUGUUAAGAGAGUUGUUAUUUAGAGCUCUGUAAAAAAAAAAAAAAAAAAGAAAAGAAGAAAAAAAAAAAAAAAGACUAAUAAUUGUAAACAGAGUUCUAGAUAAUAGUUGGGUGGUAUAAUAUGUGGGUUACUAUUUUUAGGUAUAUUUUCACUGGCAUUUUUUUUUUUAGAUGCAUCUGAUAUUUUUUUGUGUAUAAAAUGUUUUGUUAUUUUUUUUAUUACAGAAUUGCUUUAGUGCCUUUGUGACUAAAUGAGCGUCCAUUGUAAUGAAUAGAGAAACUAGCAGGCUGAAAAUUAGGGGUAAGGGGAGGGACUACCCCUGCUUUUCUCUUUAUACUGGUUAGUUCUGUCACUGCAUGGAAGGCCAAUAAUUUAGAAUAUAUUAGUUCUUUUAUUAUAUAUUUUUUGUUAGAUAUGUUAUAUCAGAUGUAUAUAAUGUAAGAUGAAAAGUAUUAUUUAGAGCUCUGUAAAAAAAUAAGCUUGUAAACAGUCAGGCCUAGAUAAUGCAUUAAGUGGUUUGGUCUGAUCUGGGGAUUUUAAAUUUUAUUUACAAGUCAUCAUCUACAAAAAUGCAUCUGAUAUUAUAAUUAUAAGCCCCUUCCCAAUUUUGUGUCCUCCCAAAUAUAAUGACUACAGAAUAAUGGGUCAUGUCACCUUUAUUUUAUGUUUCUGAUUCAUUUAAAUUUAAUAGUCACAAAAAA